CGAGCAGCACACCAAUCGAAAGGCCGAUCAAUCAAUCCGAACGCAAUGUUUUGCAAUCUCAACAAUUGCACGGCCCUCAGACAUCGUGGGCCGUGAUAUGGCAUUCGCAAGGUUGAUCGAGAGGUGUUGCGAUCAGCGUGAGGGGAUUUGCGCAAUGGUACACCUACGUAUGGCGAACAAUGGAACUGCCAUUCAUUCAUCACGGGAAGCUGGCCGAAGGAGACAGUCUCUAUGCCAGCACUUGACAGCUGACCAGAAACCGGAGUCGUUAGAUCUUAGCAUCUUUCCAUUGAGAGGUCAGUCGGCCGAAUGGCAUUGCUAACUAAGUGUGAAAAGGCUUCUCAGACAACACCGUCUGUGUGCCCUGGAUCCUGGAUGUUCAACGGCAGCAUUGUGUGCAUUCUGAGGAAGUCCUUGCCCCCGAGCCACUCUCGGACAUUUCAAUUUGCAUUUGACUUUGCGGCUGUUGUGGGCGAGCCAAGCCACUUAUGAUGCUCGCAGGGAGUCGCCCUUCGUCCCUGCGGCUACUCAGUUUCUUGGGCGGAUCAGUGCUCGAGCCGCUACUGGACCUUCUGUGCCAUUCUUGCAACUACUGCCCGGGAGGAGACAAUUGUUACCGAUUUGCGUUUCUUGCUUGACACUCGCUUGGAAAAUUAUCACAGUACUAAGACGAUUUCCUUUUUUAAUCCGCCAUAAGCUGCAAAGCGUGUCACACGGUCAAUUGAAUAAGGUUGAAUAGGUGUAAGAAUCUCGACAAAUUCCGUUGCAAAGUUGGAUUUUAAGUAAAGAAUGGCCGAGUCCCAACCAACCUACA